rnacentral:tRNA from 1 species
GUCUUCGUGGCGCAAUUGGCUAGCGCGUUUGACCGUUAAUCAGGAGGUUCCUGGUUCAAGCCCAGGCGAGGACG